rnacentral:ribozyme from 1 species
UGAGCUACUGCUACUACUACUGCCUGCUCACCGUCACGUUCGUUCAGUCCCA